GAUGAACGCUGGCUACAGGCUUAACACAUGCAAGUCGAGGGGAAACGACAUCGAAUGCUUGCUUUUGAUGGGCGUCGACCGGCGCACGGGUGAGUAACGCGUAUCCAACCUGCCCAUCACUUGGGAAUAACCUUGCGAAAGUAAGACUAAUACCCAAUGACAUCCCACGAAGACAUCUGAAUGGGAUUAAAGAUUUAUCGGUGAUGGAUGGGGAUGCGUCUGAUUAGCUUGUUGGCGGGGUAACGGCCCACCAAGGCAACGAUCAGUAGGGGUUCUGAGAGGAAGGUCCCCCACAUGGGAACUGGGACACGGUCCAUACGCCUACGGGAGGCAGCAGUGUGGAAUAUGAGGCAAUGGGCGAGAGCCUGAACCAGCCAAGUAGCGUGCAGGAUGACGGUGCUAUGGGUUGUAAACUGCUUUUAGAAGGGAAUAAAGUGGGUCUCGGGAGACUUUUUGCAGGUACCUGAUGAAUAAGGACCGGCUAAUUCCGUG
rnacentral:rRNA from 1 species